CACUCAGAUUCACGAAAGAUGUUUCGCACGCGCUAAACCGAUCCCCCUUUGCGAUGUGGAUAUCUUCUGCGCUCCGACACGAGAGACACCCCCCCCGUGCGGCUAGAGUCUGGUAGCUGCCCCCCGCAGACGCAGUCUGAUGAUCGGAUUUGUUUUGCAUUUCUCUCUCAUGACUCGGUCUGUUGUAUGAGCGCAGCCAAGCACCCCUUGAAUAGUCUAAGUGACUGCGACUACCAUCAAACUCCGACUUCACAGAAUCAGAAGAUUCGUGGUUUCCGGCGGGCGCGGCCGGGCUAGAGCCCCGGGCCUGAAGCGCCGCGAAGCAACUUAGUACGAAACACGGUGAGUUGCCCCCUAGGAACCCUACACUCGUAAUGAUCUUCCGUAGGGUGAACCUGCGGAAGGAUCAUUACCGAGUGUAGGGUUCCUAGCGAGCCCAACCUCCCACCCGUGUUUACUGUACCUUAGUUGCUUCGGCGGGCCCGCCAUUCAUGGCCGCCGGGGGCUCUCAGCCCCGGGCCCGCGCCCGCCGGAGACACCACGAACUCUGUCUGAUCUAGUGAAGUCUGAGUUGAUUGUAUCGCAAUCAGUUAAAACUUUCAACAAUGGAUCUCUUGGUUCCGGCAUCGAUGAAGAACGCAGCGAAAUGCGAUAACUAGUGUGAAUUGCAGAAUUCCGUGAAUCAUCGAGUCUUUGAACGCACAUUGCGCCCCCUGGUAUUCCGGGGGGCAUGCCUGUCCGAGCGUCAUUGCUGCCCAUCAAGCACGGCUUGUGUGUUGGGUCGUCGUCCCCUCUCCGGGGGGGACGGGCCCCAAAGGCAGCGGCGGCACCGCGUCCGAUCCUCGAGCGUAUGGGGCUUUGUCACCCGCUCUGUAGGCCCGGCCGGCGCUUGCCGAACGCAAAUCAAUCUUUUCCAGGUUGACCUCGGAUCAGGUAGGGAUACCCGCUGAACUUAAGCAUAUCAAUAAGCGGAGGAAUUU
rnacentral:rRNA from 1 species